UCAAAUGCUAUUUCGAUACGUGCUUUUUAAAAUUGUUUAAAGAGGUCAUAUGAUGCAAUUAAAAUUUUUCUUUCUCUUUGGAGUGUUACAAGGUCUUCAUGCAUAAAGAAGAUCUGUAAAGUUGCAAAGACUAAAGUCUCAAAACCCAAAGAGGUAUUCUUUAUAAAAGUUAAGAGUCAACCAUGUGGGAGUAUUUGCAUAAUGCCGCCCAAAUGUUCAUGCAAAGAAAGAAUGCGUAACUUUUAUUCUCGCUGUUGCUGCCGCCACCAUGUUGUGGAGAUGCUGUGUGUUUCGUUGUGAAAGCGAAACUACUUUGUUUGGCCUUCCAAAAGAGAACACAUCAUGUUCUCAUUCAGCUUGUAUCUGCUCGUUUGCAAAAGAGUCACCGCUGAAACCAACAGGACUGAUUGUUUACCGCAGUAAUUUGUUAGGACUUGUUAUAUAAUUAAUCUGUCUGUAAUUAUUUUUCUCUCUCUCUCUAUUUUUUUUCAGUGGUUAUCUGGAAUUCAAGACAUCUAUGAACGCCAUGUUGGCUAAUAAACUUUUCCAUGGAAGAUCAGUGAUCUCCCGAUCGAGGAACAGCAUGAGUGAUAAUAUAUCUCUGGUGUUGGGGACCUUCUACAUGCAGCGUGUGGUCCAAUAUGAAAGGAAGCUUCUUAGCCUGGAGGCACGCAAGCAGAGACGCAAACCCGGACGAGCCUCCGCCGGAAGAAGAUGAGCAGGUGUGUGUGCAGGGAAUUACUUUUCUACAUGAAAAUUGAGUUACAGGACGCCUGUCGUUUAUGUACUGAUUGAGAUCUCUGUCAUUUUUACCUGAGACUAAAAUACUAUUUACUAAAAUCAUCUGCAAUGGACACGUUUGACUCUGUCCUGUUUAAUAAGUUGAAAUUUUAUUUAAUUGUUUACAAAAAUAUAAAUAGAUCACAGGAGCGGUCUUACGUGUAUUUUUUAAUUAAUUUUUUUUUUUUUUUUUUUACAAAAUAGACAACUCUUUUGUCCAGCUAGCAUUUUAUGCAUCCUAAAUACCCACAGUUAAAUCAUAUUUUCUCACUUUUCACAUAAUUUGACAAAUCACAGCUUAGAAAUGAAGUUUAAUAAAAUACUAAUCUCAAGCUCUGACACUGAUGUCUUCUUGGUAUAAAUACAUACAUUUUAUAAAUUUUUCAAUUUGUGAUUUCAUAACUAGUUUGAGUGAAAAUGUAUAUAAACUAUUGAAAUUGUUAAUUUACUCUUUAUUUAUAUUAUUUUAGCCUUAAUUUUUUAUUUUUUAUUUUUUUUAAUUGAAAGUCUGGGUUUGAGACAAAGGUAGGCUUUUAAAAUCCUUCAAAAGUUUGGAAUAAUUACUUUUUUAUAUAUUAUCGAAAUAAGUCUCUUUUGCUCAAGAAAGUUGCAUGUAUAUGAUCAGAAAUGUAUAUGAUCAUUAGUGGUUUCCGUAAAAGGGAUUUGAGUUUGAUCUUAACCUCUUAACUGACUCAUUGCUUUUCUGAAGUACCUUUAACACCUUUACUCUGCUGGACUGCCCGUCUAGUUAGCAAACCAUGUUUGUGUAAAAAUGUAAGUCAAAGACAGGAGAAAAUCAAUGAAAAAUCAGCCAGUUGGUUCUCUCUCUUUAAGCACAAUGCUUACUUGCACUGCAGUACAUAAUCAAAAUAAUAUAAAUAAAAAACAUUUUAAUAUUAUACGAAGCGCAGUCAGUACCUGAACUAUCAGCUGAGAUGUCGCAGAAAGAGAAACCAUUCCAAAAAUACAGUUCCCUGUAGCAUCUGGUUAGGACAAAAACUCUGGUUAUAGAGACAGUUCACCUAAAAAUGAGCAAUCUGUCAUCAUUUACACACACCCAUGUCCUUCCAAACCUGAGUUUCUUUCUUCAGUGGAAAACAAAAGAAGAAUGCUGGUAACCAGACAAUUUUGGUGAUUAUUGCAUUGAGAAAAACAGUCAUUUCUCAAAAUAUCUUACAGGUUUGGAAUGACAUGAGGGACAGUAAAUAAUGAUAGAACUUCAAAAUGGAAUAAAUAGUAGAAAUUGAUUUCAGUGACAUUAACUGGUCAGUGACUUGUGAGUCUGAAAGUGAUUUAAGGUUUUGUUUUUUGCCUUUUUUUGAUAAUUGUAAAAAAGAAUUCAUAAGAGUAAUUUGUAGGGGUUUAACAAUAUAUUACAAAUCAAAAAUGCAACAAUACGUGUUUUGUAUAGUUCACCUAAAAAUGCAGGUUUGUACAAAUUUAAUUAGGCUUUUAUUCACAUCUAAACAGUUAUCAGCACACAGAGAGCGCGUUAAAUAAAGUUAACCCAGAAGCUCACACAUGUUUAUUAUUUUUCAUAAAAAUACAUAUUCUUCAGAAUCGUAAAUAUUGAGAUUCUGGUUAAUGAACACAUCAAGAUGGAAGAUUACGCUGCAAUUUUGAACUAAUAAAGAGAGAAAAAAGCAGUUGAAGGAUGACGUGUAUAAUUCAGUUAAUCAUCUGACUCCAGUAUAAUUAAUCUGACCAGCCUUGUUAUUAUUAUACACAAAUAAAAGUAGAUCAUUUACAGUUCCAAAUGAUAUAUUACUCUUAACUUUAUGAGCAAAAAUGACAGUGUUAAGUUGCAGGGCUCUACUGACAACAUGCAAGCCCCGAAUCGAAUUUAUUUCCACGUCUUUCUUGUGCUUGAAUGGACAAAUUCUAAAUAUAAUAACUGUCUUGGAAAGUGUCCUCGAAAACAGUCGGUUAUGUCUUAAGUGAACUUAAACAGUUGAGAAUGAAAUCAAAUGUGUAUCAAUAUAUUAGAACCAUGAAUUGUGUUUAAAGUGACGGUGCCUGAUUUACCAGCUGCUGUCAGUGUCCUUAAUGUUAAUCAAAAAAAUAAAUUAAUUAAUAAAAAUGAAUGAAUUAAUUAAAAAUUAGAAAAUCACUUACUGCUCUUAAUAUCUUUAACAAAGACUGUGUUAAAUUGUACAGUGAAGAAUAUGCAAUGUUAUUUUACAUUUGAUUAUUCAAUUUCUGUACUUGAGAACUAAAACGAAAAACCCAAAGCAUCUUUAUUUUGCAUCAUUGUUCUGGUUAUUUAUUUGUGCUAUUGCUUUUAAUUUCUUUAUUUGUUCUUAUUUACUGGCUGUUUUUUAACUAGUAUCUAAAUUUUUGGUGUCAUACAGUAUAAGCUUAGUUACUAGAAUACAAUAUAACAUGGGUCAAAAACAAUGAUAACAAGAGCUAUAUAUAGUUUCUUUCAAUUUCUUAUUAAACAUCAAAACAUUUUUUUCUUGCAUACCUCCCUUAAAUGGGGCAUAACACACACAGUUUCACCUAAUCUCAUGUUAAUCUUGAGUACUUAUCGAGUAGUACUGCAUCCUUCAUAUCUCCAAAAAUUCUAGUUUUAUCAUAUUUAUAAAAGAAAGAUACAGCUUUACGAUUCUCUCCGGAAAAAGCAGAGCUCCUGGAGAUGCGCUGUGGGCAGAGCUAAAGAGUGACGAGCACUUGAGCACUGAAUGCCAACAAAAUCUGCAGUUCUGAAUCAUGACCGGGAUCUUUUAUAGCUGGGACCGCUCCAUCUUUCAGUAUCAAACAAUGUGCAAAUCCAACGUCGAACUGGGCCUUGUUUAUAAAACAUUCGUCAACACAAACACUUGUGAAACUCCGUUGCUGCCUCAGAAAAACAAACUGUAUCCAUUGUUUACAUAACGCUGGGUUCUUUAGGAAGCUGAACAAAGUUAUCUUUCCCUUACAACAAAAACACACUUCUUUGGAGACAUUCUUACCCAGCAAGUCCCGUGCAGCGCUUCCACCGGUUGAAGCUCGUAGAUGAGCACAAUCUCGCUCUAGCUCUGGUCGAUGCUUGCGUGAGCGUGGUUUUCUGGGAGAAAUGCCCAUAUAAGGAGUUCCACCUUCGUCUACGUCAUGAAGAGCCACAAUCGAAAAAAAACUCUCCGAAACUCGUAUGAACCCGGAAGUAAGAUUUUGGCACAGAAAUACUCCAUCAUACGUCAUAUGUCCAAAUUGUUUUUUUAAAACUUUGUCCAUGCUUAGCAAUCCUCUUUAACAGUGUAAACAGCUCUGAAUUCACGAAACAGCAUUUAAAAGUCUUCAUGGCGCCCCUGAAUAAUAGAUAUUUAUAUUUUCUAUCGAGCAUUCAAAAUGUGCAACUAGGCAAUGGAUGUAUCAUUUCUGACACGCGCUGUAUGCGGUAAACCAAUCACAACAGACCGGUCCAUCUGAACAAUCAGAGCAGAGUAGGCUCACAGAAAAGAGGAGUUUAGAGAGACUGAAUCUCAGAACUGCUUCGAACGAAUCGUUUGAGAAUCAUUGGAAAAUGAGGUGAUAUUAUAUGCAUAUUUUGAGAAAACU
rnacentral:lncRNA from 1 species